AAAAAUAAAACAGGGAGGAUGAUUCAAGAUGGCUGAUCGUUAGCAGCUCGGGAUUGUAGCUCCCAGUGAAAGUGCAGAGAAGGAGAGGACGCCACACUUUCAGACGAAUUUUUGUUGCCCACGCACCAGGA